AAUAGAUACCCAGGUAGUCCAUGCCGUAAACGAUGUCUACUAGCCGUUGGGGCCUUUGAGGCUUUAGUGGCGCAGCUAACGCGAUAAGUAGACCGCCUGGGGAGUACGGUCGCAAGACUAAAACUCAAAUGAAUUGACGGGGGCCCGCACAAGCGGUGGAGCAUGUGGUUUAAUUCGAUGCAACGCGAAGAACCUUACCUGGCCUUGACAUACUAGAAAACUUUCCAGAGAUGGAUUGGUGCCUUCGGGAAUCUAGAUACAGGCGCUGCAUGGCUGUCGUCAGCUCGUGUCGUGAGAUGUUGGGUUAAGUCCCGCUAACGAGCGCAACCCUUUUCCUAUUUGCCAGCGAGUAAUGUCGGGAACUUUAAGGAUACUGCCAGUGACAAACUGGAGAAGGCGGGACGAGUCAAGUCAGUCAUGGCCCUUACGGCCAGGGCUACACACGUGCUACGAAUGGUCGGUACAAAGGGUUGCUACCUAGCGAUAGGAUGCUAAUCUCAAAAAGCCGAUCGUAGUCCGGAUUGGAGUCUGCUAACG
rnacentral:rRNA from 1 species